rnacentral:sRNA from 1 species
UACAAACUUGGUGCAGUACUCGAUGGA